rnacentral:misc_RNA from 1 species
UCGAUUUCCUAGCACCAUGACAAAACCAUCAUCAAUGGAUAUGUAGCUUUACACCCACUUUAACAAAUCCAAUAAUUUAAGUUUUCGACCAGAAAUUGGUCGAUCAUCUUCUCCAUCUGAUUAUCAGGGGAUCCUUCACCGGUGCUCUUAAGGUCCCUGUGUUCCUCAAAAUGACCCACAUGCAAGGGGACAGAAGUGUUUUGGACUCCUUUCCAGAAAACAUUGAUCUUAAUCAGGGAUCUGUUUCAAAUAAUGCUUCCAUGGAUGCGACAGCUCCCUGGGAUAACUUUCGGAAUCCAGUAGAUAAUCGAUUGUCAAAUCCCAUGCUUUCUCCUUCUGGAAGAAAUCCUAGUUAUGUUAAUGGUGUUAAUUAUAAUGCUCAAAGCUUUAGUGGCUGGGAUCAAGGUGAAUCCAGCUCCACUGCUAAUUUGCAUGACCGAACACGUGGCAGUGACUUGAAAAUCGGACAAGGUUGGACUUCUUCAUCAAAUGAUUAUGUUAUGAUUAAUCCAAGGUCAGAACGCCGAUUUGAACCUUCUAAUGUCUUUUCUACAAGCGGUUAUGGUGGCAAUCAUGUAAUUGGCAGGCCUCCAAGUGUAUCAUCAAGCCUUACCUUGGAUCAUAGUCCAGUAAAUUCUAAUUUGAGUGGUGGAUACAAUAAUGAUGAUGGUCGUCUGGUCAUGCGAACAAGUGUACCUCCACUUCACAAAUCUGAUAGGUCGGAAGUGGUGCGUCCUCCGGCUUUCAGUCCAUCUGGCAGUGGAACCUUUACAGGUAGUUCUGGUUAUUUGACAGGGACAAGUAAUGUAUCAAGUUCUUCUAUGGAUAAUUGGGGUUCAUCUUGCAAGCGCAAAGCCAUUGAAGGCAAUUCUGGACAUUCUUUUGCAGGUGGAAGUUCAAGCUCCAAUGCAGGACCUGAGAACACUGUACAGCAUAACUAUCCAAGUUGUAAUAAUGCUUCGAGCAGCAUAAACAGACUACCCCGCUCUGCAAAUAUGCAGAAUGUUGGUUAUCUGGAGAAUACUUAUCCAAGAAAUGGGGUUGGUACAAGUAUGUCUGCUUCUGAUAUAUUUCCUCCAUUAAGUGCUGGUGGAAUUGCAGAAAGCUCUG